GAGUAACGCGUAUCCAACCUUCCCCUUAGUAGAGGAUAGCCCGGCGAAAGUCGGAUUAAUACUCUAUGUUCUUCAAUGCGGACAUCUAAGUUGAAGCAAAGAUUUAUCGCUAAGGGAUGGGGAUGCGUCUGAUUAGGUUGCAGGCGGGGUAACGGCCCACCUGGCCUACGAUCAGUAGGGGUUCUGAGAGGAAGGUCCCCCACACUGGUACUGAGACACGGACCAGACUCCUACGGGAGGCAGCAGUGAGGAAUAUUGGUCAAUGGGCGCGAGCCUGAACCAGCCAAGUAGCGUGCAGGAACCGACUGCCCUAUGGGUUGUAAACUGCUUUUAUCAGGGAAUAAAGUGAGGCACGCGUGCCUUUUUGUAUGUACCUGAUGAAUAAGGACCGGCUAAUUCCGUGCCAGCAGCGGC
rnacentral:rRNA from 1 species